rnacentral:lncRNA from 1 species
GUCUCGGUCCGGACUGACUACCCACGCGUCCAAUCAGAGGCAUGCCGUCUUGUCCCCAGCGUUCCAAAACAGAGCUCAACGCGGCCAAUCUCCCAAAGGCCACGCCCCCCCCUUAACGGGCAUUCCCUGACCUAGGCGAAGCAUCCCGCGGACGACGCGGAGGCGUGUCUUUGAUCUUAAAGGCACAGCGCUCAAUUGCCGGCCCAAAAGACCGAGGAAGCCGGUAGGGAUUCGGCCUUGGAAUUCAUCCGCUCCUCACGCGGCGGAAGUGGUCAUUGUGAUGAGCACACGUUUGUGACGUCACCGGGUUGGCACCAAGCACACGUCCCUAGGGAUCCCAAACCCGUAUUCAAAGAGAUCCUGGGCCUCGGGGAGCCAGUACAGGGGAUUUAUCGAAGAUUGCUGGGCUCUAGGUCCCUGAACGGAACUGGUUCUUUAAACAUCCAGAGUCGCAGGGCCCGUUUCCCUUUUCGCCUGUACAUAUCAAAAGCUGAUUGACACUGCCCCCAACCCCAGCGCCCUCUGCAGCCAGAGCCCCGGGUUCAAGUCCACCUCUGACACGUAAGACCUGUUCGACCUUCCCCUGAGCUGAGCCCCCCGCCGUUGCCCUCCCUCCCGGACAACAAUCUAGCGCUCCCAGCUUCCUCGUUCCUCCCAGCGCCGGGCCUGCGCGAGUUAAGGGGGCGGUGCGAGGGCCGGGGGCGGGGUAGCCCGG